rnacentral:lncRNA from 1 species
UCGUUCUGGGCACUCAAGCAGCUGGCUUGUUUGUUUUGUAGGUUUUGCUCACACAGCCCUAAAGACAUACAACAACCCUGUGAUCCCGGCCAUGAAAGCCUUUGACAACACAUGCCCAGCUCUUUAAGCCGCUCCUCAUAGGGCUUGUUUUCCAGACCCUUGAUCAUUUUGGUUGCCUUCCUCUGGACACAUUCCAGCUUGUCAACAUCUCCCAACAUCUCUUUUCUGAGUGUUGUUCUUUAUUUACUUUUCCGAUUUUAGAGAUAGCUAGAUUUUGUUCCUUUUCAUGGUUUCCCCCUUUUUGUUGAAAUUGCCCACAUGCUUGUAGAUUUGAAUGGCUUCUCUGUGUAGCCUGACCUGGUGGUGGUGAGAGUGUUGGACAGACACUCCCUUGAGAGGUGCUGAAAUCCAGCAUAAUCUGAACUGGGGCAUGCCAUGCCUUUCUGCUGCAAAGCUGAACUGAAAGGGUUAAGCACACUGAGCUUUGCAUUUUGCCUAGACCGAUCAGAAAGCAAAAAAAGGAAUAACAUAUGGAGAGGAAAACCCCCUUCCUGUUUCAUUUCCCUCCUCUUUUGCAGAGAGAAAUAGCUCAGAAAAAGCUGCAGCAGAGGAGAGAUUGGCCAAGCUUGUAAGAGAAAUGGGUGAACAGGAAGCAUCAGCACCCAAAAUGAAGGAAGAAUCAGAAGAGAGGAAAGAAAUUCCUCCCGUUGUCCAAGAAAACACUACAGGAGUGUUCUUGUUCACGAAAGGCCCAGAUGAAAUGAAGGAAGAACCAAAGGAAGGAUCCCAAAAGAACUGGGAGUCACAUUGGCAGGAAUUCAUGAACACGGUGGAGUCUCGGUGCCACCAAACUGAUGGGUCAAGGCCACCUCAUCCUUGGCCGGAGGAGGACACAAAGGCAUUUCAGACCUCCUUGGAAGGAGCGGCUGAUGGCAUCUCUCAGUCAAGAGGAGAGAAUGUAGUCCAAAACCAUUGUAAUGAUGGCUCGGUGGCUGACGAAAGCCAGGUAUUUCACCUGAAAGUUAAGGAUGAGGAGGAUGAAGAAGAGGCGGAGCAAUUCAAUCUGUUGGGCUGCCAAAGUGCCAAUGGAUCUCAAGAGCUCAACAGUAUGGUCUUGGAAGGUCAACAGUCGGAGAAAUCUUUGUCCAUUGUGUGCUGGCUAUGGAGAUGGUACUAUUCAAGCACACCGUCUAUCUAGGAGAUGCCCAAAAGGUCAUGGCUGGACUUUGAGAAAUGGGCUUUACAUAGGCCAUAGGAGCUGUUGAUGGAUGCCACUCCAUGGUUGUGUAACGCAGGGAGGUUAAUUCAUCAAUCGAAAAAACAGUUAUUCCAUCUUGCUACAGGGAACUACAGAUCACAAAGACCACUUCCUUGAUAUAGAG